UAUUAUUCCUAUUAUUUACAUAUGGUCAUGGUUUGAUCAUUUUCUUUUGGGCUUCCACGAAUUACGUAAAAGUUAUCGUUCAACUUAUGCAUUACUGGAUAAAAUUUGUGAUUUUUUAUAUGUGGUCGGCUUACCCGGCUUAUAUUUUCUCUUUGACGGUUUAUUUUCCAUCUUUAAAUUUUUAUUGUUUCCAUAAUGGAUAUUGGCAUUUUAAAAAACGUCAUCAAAUCCCUAAUGUUUUCCUACCCGGAAAGCAUGACUAUACAAUAAUUAUGUCGUGAUUACAAUGAAGAAGAAGGUUAAGACAUACUGGAUGCUAUAAAGAUCGCUGGUGAUCGUCCUAACGCGGUGGUUAAGGCCGAAUCGAGUGAAAAUACGAAACACAUAGAGAAGAUGAUAAAGAAACAAAAGAGACCACGGAGAAAAAAGCCUCAAUAAUCAGCAUUUAACAUGUAUACGACGAGGGACCAACAACGUCGGCGAA